rnacentral:rRNA from 1 species
AGAGUUUGAUCAUGGCUCAGGAUGAACGCUAGCGGCAGGCUUAACACAUGCAAGUCGAGGGGUAUAGGUUUUCGGACCUAGAGACCGGCGCACGGGUGCGUAACGCGUAUGCAAUCUACCUUUUACAGAGGGAUAGCCCAGAGAAAUUUGGAUUAAUACCUCAUAGUAUUAUUGAAUGGCAUCAUUUAAUAAUUAAAGUCACAACGGUAAAAGAUGAGCAUGCGUCCCAUUAGCUAGUUGGUAAGGUAACGGCUUACCAAGGCAACGAUGGGUAGGGGUCCUGAGAGGGAGAUCCCCCACACUGGUACUGAGACACGGACCAGACUCCUACGGGAGGCAGCAGUGAGGAAUAUUGGUCAAUGGGCGCAAGCCUGAACCAGCCAUGCCGCGUGCAGGAUGAAGCAUCUAUGGUGUGUAAACUGCUUUUGUACGAGAAGAAACACUCCUACGUGUAGGAGCUUGACGGUAUCGUAAGAAUAAGGACCGGCUAACUCCGUGCCAGCAGCCGCGGUAAUACGGAGGGUCCAAGCGUUAUCCGGAAUCAUUGGGUUUAAAGGGUCCGUAGGCGGUUUUGUAAGUCAGUGGUGAAAGCCCAUCGCUCAACGGUGGAACGGCCAUUGAUACUGCAAGACUUGAAUUAUUGGGAAGUAACUAGAAUAUGUAGUGUAGCGGUGAAAUGCUUAGAGAUUACAUGGAAUACCAAUUGCGAAGGCAGGUUACUACCAAUAUAUUGACGCUGAUGGACGAAAGCGUGGGGAGCGAACAGGAUUAGAUACCCUAGUAGUCC